AGGAUUACGCAAAAUCUACAGAACGGAUUCCCAUGAAGGUCGGUGGAGGGAUGGGACACCGUGUCAUUAAACGCUUCGACUCCAAGAGUGAAUCACCAUGAGAUAAAGUCCAGAGUAAUAUUCCCACCAAGCUUGGUGAAAAUCCA